AUGGUUGUCUCAGUACGAAGGAAGGUUAGCUGUAUGACUGAAUCUUCUGAAAAUCUAGAUUUACCUUGGUACAUAUCUGAAAUUUACUACGAGUCGACACAUUCUUUUUCAGGGAGCAAAGCUACGAAUUCAUUGUCCAAGCUUACCUUGGGGGACCAGAGAAUGUUAGUCUUCAGGAGACUGGACCGCUUUGGAACCAAUUCCUGGAGUCAUUAACACAAUAUCAAGAUCCAAAGAACUGAGUAGUAGCUAGCCAAGAGGGUGCUAAGGAGUAACGUAGACAUAUAAAUUGUCUAAUAUUUCAUCUCAUCCGACAAUCAUAUGAUGUUCCCUGCGAAAUGCUUAUGGACAGGGAUUGUUUGAGGGCCUAAAGGCGUAUAAGAAAACUGAUGGAUCCAUCCUAUUAUUUCGCCCAGAGGAAAAUGCUGAGAGGAUGCGAACAGGUGCUAAGAGGAUGUGCAUGCCUGCACCUUCUGUCGAGCAGUUUAU